rnacentral:rRNA from 1 species
UACGGAGGGUGCGAGCGUUGUCCGGAAUCAUUGGGCGUAAAGGGCGCGUAGGUGGCCCGGCAAGCGUGCGGUGAAAGUCGGGGGCUCAACCCCCGAUCGGCCGUGCGAACUGCGGUGCUGGAGCACUGUAGAGGCAGGCGGAAUUCCGGGUGUAGCGGUGGAAUGCGUAGAGAUCCGGAAGAACACCGGUGGCGAAGGCGGCCUGCUGGGCAGUUUUGCUGACACUGAGGCGCGACAGCGUGGGGAGCAAACAGG